rnacentral:lncRNA from 1 species
CCUGCUUGUUGCAGCUGUGGGUGAGGACGGCUCUAGCUAGGUGAGCGGCUCCGGCCAGGUGAGCGGGGCGCAUAGGUGACGGAGGGCCGAGGGCACGGGUAUGAGUUUCUGCCGGGGGCGAGUUCCCUUUUAGACUAUGGCGACAUACCUGGAGUUCAUCCAGCAGAAUGAAGAACGGGAUGGUGUGCGUUUUAGUUGGAACGUGUGGCCUUCCAGCCGGCUGGAGGCUACA